rnacentral:sRNA from 1 species
AAGAAAAACUUCCUCAAACCACUGCUCCCCAAGAGCAUCAGUCAUCCAGGCCUUUUUCUGGAAUGUCCAGACAGUAUUGGGAGGACCAUCAGCUGUUGAAAAAGACUCCAGACUUCGUCUUGUCUUCCCCUUGACAACAACCAUGGGAGGCAUCCGUGCACCCAGAGCAUUAAUAGUAGCUAGGACAGAAAUGCUCUCCCGAGAAUUAGAAAUGCGGCCAGGAAGGGAACGAGAUCCUUUUCUGGCACAGACAGACACAGGGGAAUGUUCGAACUGGAAACCUUUCUCGUCACAGUUCCAGAUGCACUCUGGCUUGUCAUGGAGCUGAAGAUCUGUCACUAGCUGGUCAAGAGCACUAAAAUAUUUAGACACAACCUCCCGGUUCAUCAUCCUGGAGCGAACAGUAGACAGCUUUUCCGGCUUUCUGAUCACCAGCUCUGGAUGCCUAGACUUUAAACCUCUCCACCACAUGUUCCCAGGAACACCAUUUUUAAAUGGGGUAGGAAGUUUCAGGCGAUUGACCAGCUGUCCUGUCUUUGCCUUAAGCAUACCUCUACUGAUACCAAACCCCAUAUCGGCGGCCUCCAAGGCUGACUUAACAACCUUGGCUUCUAUUUCAUUAGGAAUGGCAGGCGGCUUUCCUGGUUUAGCCCCGGGCUCGAUCUUCCCCGAAACAUGAUCGUGAAUGGUUGUUUUGGGUACAGAAUACUCCAUGGAGGCUUUCCUUACAGACAUCCCAGCCCUCACUGCAGAGACAGCUUUUUCCAGAUCUUGUGUACUGUAGUUUUGGUAGAUGUUUUUCCUCUUUUUUGCCAUUGUAUCUAAAUAAGAUAAUAAGUUGUUUUAUUUAUAAAUAUUUUUUAUCCU